AUACGUAGGGUGCGAGCGUUGUCCGGAAUUACUGGGCGUAAAGAGCUCGUAGGUGGUUUGUCGCGUCGUCUGUGAAAUUCCGGGGCUUAACUCCGGGCGUGCAGGCGAUACGGGCGUAACUUGAGUACUGUAGGGGAGACUGGAAUUCCUGGUGUAGCGGUGAAAUGCGCAGAUAUCAGGAGGAACACCGGUGGCGAAGGCGGGUCUCUGGGCAGUAACUGACGCUGAGGAGCGAAAGCAUGGGUAGCGAACAGGAUUAGAUACCCUGGUAGUCCAUGCCGUAAACGGUGGGCGCUAGGUGUAGGGGUCUUCCACGACUUCUGUGCCGUAGCUAACGCAUUAAGCGCCCCGCCUGGGGAGUACGGCCGCAAGGCUAAAACUCAAAGGAAUUGACGGGG
rnacentral:rRNA from 1 species